rnacentral:rRNA from 1 species
GAUGAACGUUGGCGGCGUGCCUAAUACAUGCAAGUCGAGCGAACAGACGAGGAGCUUGCUCCUCUGACGUUAGCGGCGGACGGGUGAGUAACACGUGGAUAACCUACCUAUAAGACUGGGAUAACUUCGGGAAACCGGAGCUAAUACCGGAUAAUAUAUUGAACCGCAUGGUUCAAUAGUGAAAGACGGUUUUGCUGUCACUUAUAGAUGGAUCCGCGCCGCAUUAGCUAGUUGGUAAGGUAACGGCUUACCAAGGCGACGAUGCGUAGCCGACCUGAGAGGGUGAUCGGCCACACUGGAACUGAGACACGGUCCAGACUCCUACGGGAGGCAGCAGUAGGGAAUCUUCCGCAAUGGGCGAAAGCCUGACGGAGCAACGCCGCGUGAGUGAUGAAGGUCUUCGGAUCGUAAAACUCUGUUAUUAGGGAAGAACAAAUGUGUAAGUAACUAUGCACGUCUUGACGGUACCUAAUCAGAAAGCCACGGCUAACUACGUG